CCCUUAGAUGUUCUGGGCCGCACGCGCGCUACACUGAUGCAUUCAACGAGUCUAAAACCUGGUCUGAUAGGGCUGGGUAAUCUUUUGAAUGUGCAUCGUGAUUGGGAUAGAUGAUUGCAAUUCUUCAUCUUCAACGAGGAGUGCCUAGUAAACGCAAGUCAUCGGCUUGCAUUGAUUACGUCCCUGCCCUUUGUACACACCGCCCGUCGCUCCUACCGAUUGAAUGUUCCGGUGAAUACCAUGGACUGAGAGUAUGAAUGGGUUCGCCUAUUUCUGCUUCUCGGGAAGUGGAGUAAAUCUUAACAUUUAGAGGAAGGAGAAGUCGUAACA
rnacentral:rRNA from 1 species